AUUGAACGCUGGCGGCAGGCCUAACACAUGCAAGUCGAACGAGUGGCGGACGGGUGAGUAAUGUAUGGGAAACUGCCUGAUGGAGGGGGAUAACUACUGGAAACGGUUGCUAAUACCGCAUACAAUCGGAUGGGCCCAGAUGGGAUUAGCUAGUAGGUGGGGUAAAGGCUCACCUAGGCGACGAUCCCUAGCUGGUCUGAGAGGAUGACCAGCCACACUGGGACGUGGACACGGUCCAGACUCCUACGGGAGGCAGCAGUGGGGAAUAUUGAACAAUGGGGGCAAGCCUGAUGCAGCCAUGCCGCGUGUAUGAAGAAGGCCUUAGGGUUGUAAAGUACUUUCAGCGGGGAGGCGUUACCCGCAGAAGAAGCACCGGCUAACUCCGUGCCAGCAGCCGCGGUAAUAC
rnacentral:rRNA from 1 species